UUUCCAGUAAUUGUUUUGACUCCUAAUGGAGAAUAACGUCUUGGAGUUUCACACAUCGCAUCAGGAACGAGCAGUGAAAUAUUAUCAGCCGUAUAUGAUUGUUUAGACGAAUGGGUAUUACUUGAUAAAGUACAAGGUUUUAUAUUUGAUACGACUGCAACAAACACCGGCAGACUAAAUGGGACAUGUACACUUUUGGAGCAGAAAUUGAAUAGGAACAUUAUUUAUUUUGCUUUUAGGUAUCAUGUUUUGAAGUUGGUUAUCCAGGAUAAGAUCAAAUCCUAUAUUUUU